AUCAAAUUCAAAAAGAAACCUUAAAGAAUUUACAAAAGAAACAAUAAAAAUUCUUAAAAAAAUUGAAAAGUAAUCUACAAUAAAUUUUAAAAAAAUCAUAAGACGUCUUUAAAAAAUAUUAAAAUAAUCACAAUAUAUCUUAAAUAAAUUUCAAUUAAAUUCUAAUUUAAUCCUAAUUGAAAUCUUAAUAAACUUCAAUCAAAACUUAGAAAAAUCUUAAAUCCUAAAUCAAACUUUAAUCAAACUCUAAAUCCUAAAUCAAAUCCUAGACAAACCCUAACUAAAUCCUAAAUCUUAAACCAAACCCUAUUCAAAUUCUAAAUUCUAAACCAAAUCCUAAUUAAACUCUAACCAAAUCCUAAAUUCUAAAUCAAAUUCUAAUAAAAUCUU
rnacentral:lncRNA from 1 species